rnacentral:misc_RNA from 1 species
GAUGAAGAACGUAGCGAAAUGCGAUAACUAGUGUGAAUUGCAGAAUUCAGUGAACCAUCGAGUCUUUGAACGCACAUUGCGCCCCCUGGUAUUCCGGGGGGCAUGCCUGUCCGAGCGUCAUUGCUGCCCUCAAGCACGGCUUGUGUGUUGGGCCUCCGUCCUCCUCCCGGGGGACGGGCCCGAAAGGCAGCGGCGGCACCGCGUCCGGUCCUCGAGCGUAUGGGGCUUCGUCACCCGCUCUUGUAGGCCCGGCCGGCGCUUGCCGACACAUCAAUCUUUUUUCCAGGUUGACCUCGGAUCAGGUAGGGAUACCCGCUGAACUUAAGCAUAUCAAUAAGCGGAGGA